UGGGCGACAUGGGAUUGGCAGGCGGGUGGGUAGGAGCGUGCGGUGGGAUUGGCCAACCCUAUCCACCAAUCUCUCGUCCGCCUCGAGCCCGGCAUCCCUCCUUCCCUGCGCGCUCGGCCGGCUCCGGCAGCAGCCGCCCCCUCUCUUCUUCACCUCCGGCGGCUAGCGCGGUGUAGGGAGCGUCGAGCGCCACCGCGCAUAUGGCAGCGGCGACAGUCAGGAUGCUGGCCCUCGGCCAGGAACGCGGCGGGCAUGGCCGCUCCUCUCCUCCCGAUUCGCCUCCUCUUCUUCGUGCGCGGCGAACGCGGCAGCCAUGGCCGCUCCUCUCCUCCCGAUUCGCCUCCUCUUCUUCGUGCGCGGCGGCCGCUGCAGCUCCUCGUGCUGCCCUCCAUCCAUCCCGCCCCUCUUGUUUUCCUCCUCUCUCAGAUCGGGCGCCGUCCCUCGCCGUGGUUCCAGAUCGGGGCGGAGGUCGCCGCCAUUGAGGAGCAGGGGAGGGCGAGGCCUGGAGCUCCACCGGCAGCGCGCGCUACAUUGGUCAUCUUCUCCUACCCACGUAAACAGCGAGCAGAGGCGUAAUCACGCAGGUGCCAGGGAUCAUACAAUCAAUCCAAUUGUUACCCUUGGUGUGCUUUCUGGAUGGACUAAUCUGAAGAUGCUGGCUAGCGUGCAUCGCCAUCAUAUAGUCGAGCAAGGUCAAGGGGAAAAUAAAGGCGAUUCACCAUCUGGGGAAAAUACCAACUAAUACAUUUUUGUAGUUCCUCUGUUACAGAGGUUGCUGCUGCAAGGUGCAGCAGCAGGGGAGAGGAAGGAGGCCUGUGAUAGGGGGAAAGUGCAGGCUGGCCCUUGUUCAUAGGUUAGCCAUUGGAUCUGGAUACUCAUGUUAAAAUUGCAAGGUAUAUGAACCAAAACUUUUGUAUAUUAACUUAGUUAUUAAGAGAAAAAUAGUCAGCAACUAUUUUAUGUUCAUAUGUAUUCUCCACAGUUUCCACAUGUAGAUUUUAUUGUUUGAAGGCAAAGUAAAUUGCAGCAUGAGCAUAAAGACAAUUUAGCCGGGGGCACCUAAACUGAGAGGGAGGUUAGCAGCAAAAGAAAGACCGCUACUUAGGCUUCCAUGUCUCCCUACUCUUCAGUUUAGACCUCCGAAGGUCGAAGGCCAUGAAACACUAAAUAACCUUGCAACGGAUACCCUGUGGUCUACCAUUAUAAUUAUGUGUGCAUUUUGGAUCUAUUGGAUGUCUGAAUGUAAUGCUAAUCGAAAUUUACUGAUGCAAAGAUUUGCAGGGACGUAAUAUAUAUUGUGAUGUUUCACUACGAUCUUCAAGUGUUUCAGUUCGUAUUUAGCAGGAUCACAUGUUGACCAAUGACUCUUUGUUUUCUCACUGAUCCAGUAUACUCAAGAACUUGAAUAUUGUGUUUGCUGUGAGUUAUUGACAGUUAUUUUUGCAACUCAGGAGUGAAGAUGGCCUUCCUUUGGUAGGCGUAGUGAAUGGAUUUUCUUCUAAUUCAGGCCAUGGUUGAUACCGCUCGGCGUCUGGAUCUGCCAUGGAGUGGCUACCAUGGGCCAACCAGAGCUGGGUGCCCCUGUUUCCGACCUCGAGGCGAUUAGAUUAGAGUCUGAUUAAUUAUGUAUCAUUCGGUCCUUCCUUUGGCUAUUAAUCUAUUGUGGUCUGCUUUUCAAGCUCAUACAACAUGCUUAUAUUGAAUUAAAUUUUGUAUAGAUAGCUGUAAGAUUCUAGCGAAACAUCUUCAAGCUUAAGUUGCUGAACUGAUAUAGCAUCUUGAUACCAUACAUGUAAACUAAUUUAGGAAAUUGUAUUGUUCUGAGAUAAUUUUUUAUUUGAAAACAUUACCAACA